rnacentral:misc_RNA from 1 species
GGCAGCACUUUGCCUGAGCUUCCCCUCCCUCCGGAUGCACGCCCGAAUUUCCUGUUGCCGGAGCCGAAUGGCGACUUUGUCCGCAUCCACGGCGACCGCAUCUACCGCUUCCACGGCGGAGCGUGGAAGGAGAUUCCGGCCGUUGCCGAAGUACGAAACAUGCUAUUGGGAGCGAGUGCGGCCACACAUACCCGCAACGGCUCGUGGUUGGCAGCAACGCGGGGCGCCUUGGUCACAUGGGACCCGGGCAGGAUCAUUCAGACCGUCCGUCACGACGCCCCUGCCGCCAU